rnacentral:rRNA from 1 species
UGGGGAAUUUUUCGCAAUGGGGGCAACCCUGACGAAGCAACGCCGCGUGGAGGAUGAAGGCCCUAGCGGUUGUAAACUCCUGUCUAGUGGGACGAAAGCAGACCUGGCAAAUAGUCGGGACUGUUGACUGUACCGCUGGAGGAAGCUCCGGCCAACUCCGUGCCAGCAGCCGCGGUAAUACGGAGGGAGCAAGCGUUACUCGGAAUUAUUGGGCGUAAAGGGCGCGUAGGCGAUUUGACAAGUCGGUUGUGAAAGCCCAGGGCCUAACCCUGGAAGUGCAACCGAUACUGUUGAAUUUGAGUACAGGAGAGGAAGGCAGAAUUCCCGGUGUAGCGGUGAAAUGCGUAGAUAUCGGGAGGAAUACCAGUGGCGAAGGCGGCCUUCUGGACUGUAACUGACGCUGAGGCGCGAAAGCUAGGGUAGCAAACGG